rnacentral:lncRNA from 1 species
UAAAUCGUACAAGACACUGUCCCCACAUAUUUUGAACCAUGACACGAAUCAAAAUCCUGUGCGCCAGCAUAAGCAUCCCUACUGGAUCUGGAUGCCUAUUUUGCAGCGGCAUAAGCAUCCCCAGAUGCAUGACCAAUGGCCGGUGGUCAAAUUGAAGUUGAUGCAGAACACAUAUUAAUAGCUGUCCUCAAAUAUAAUGAAGUCAAGCAGACAUGGCCUAAUAUUUGUUCAAAUGCCUUUCUCGCCUGAAACAUCAUGAUAAGAAUAGUAAGUAUUAUGGUUUUCUCUGGAACCAGGACAUACAGAAAAUUGUAGAUCGGCAUAAUGACCAUAAUCUUUUCUCUAGUAUCUCUUUCAAUUAAAUUCUUACGUACAUAAAAAGUAGAGUAUAUGUGAAAUAGAUCAUCAUGCCACACCUAUUUAAAUAUAUACUUGAUUGUAUAUUUAAAGGCUUCAGAAAUGCAGUUUCUGUAUAUCUAUAGUGCGAUAGAUUUAGCACUAUGAUGAUUAGAACGAAUAAUGAAAAUAAAUAGGAGUUACCAAAAUUUGUUAAACGUUUUACUAGAAAAUAUAUGCCAUUGUCACUAUAAUUUAUGACUUGCUAUCCUUGUGAAUUGACAACUGAUUUACAAGAAUUUAGCGCAUGAUUUACAAGAUUCAACCUUGCAUGUGAAUUACUAUAAUGCAUGCCUUCCUGUCCUUGUGAAUUUGACAUUAUGGUUUACGAUAACUUCAUACAUGAUUUACGGAAUCUAUGCUCUUGAAAUUUUAGAGUUGUGUAAUUUAACAUUGUCAAACCUGCCAUGGCAUAAAAUUGUUCAGAUGUUAUGAUCACUACAACAAUUCCCAAAUCUCCAUGCCUAACCAGAUCAGCAAAAAAACACUAAUAAAAGUUGAUCUACAGUGAAGCAAUAAUAUAUGGCAGUCAACUUAAAUGGACAAAAAAUCCAAACUACUCUGGCCAGCGAGGUAUUAAUUUUCAGUACCCACGAAAGUGAGAAAUAAAAAAAAUCUCUCUAUGAGAAAUACUACUACUACUUAGCAACAUAGGAUCCAUUGCUGGUGGACAAGUGAAGCUUACGACAAUUUCGUAAUCUCCUACAGAAUCAUGAUUGCAUUCCGAUCGCAUACAGUUUAAUUACUCACCAGCUCUGAUGAAAGAACCUAUUAGAAAUACAGAACCCAAAGCAUCUUGUGCUAUGCAAUAACAAUUUCUACUCAUCAAUCCAGCCAAAAUAUUAUGAUGAGCUAUAUCACGAUCAGAUAUGAAACAAAGGUGUUCGUUCAAACAAAAAAGAUCUAAAACAAAAUAAAUUUAUUAUAGGAUUAGUGCUAGUAUGGAGCGGCUCACCUGGAUAGGCUGCAUACAUUUUUCUUCACAACUGUUCGUCGGAAGCUUGGAGCAGUGCGGUUCGAGCCUUUGAGGUAUUCACGACGUAACUUACACAGGUAACAAAUGGGUAUUAUGAAUAUAAGUUUUUAUGGAAAUUUUCGACUAUGGUUGACGAUAAAAAUUAAUAAGGAUGAUCAAAAUUACCAUAAUGAAGAUAGGGAGCUACCAGAAUUUAGGGUCAUGGUAUUCUGAUGCUACUCAAAUCAGGAGCACAAUAGGCUGUUAAGUAAUUACAAUAAUUGGAAUCAAUAAUUUAGUUAGGGACUAGCCAAAAAUUUUCCUCAGAUGAUAUCGAUAUAUUACAAUAUAUUUAUGUCCUUUAUAUAUGAAUCACUAUAAUCUAUUCUGAUUAUACUAUAUUUGUUCUCUGUUCAUAAAUAAUACAAAAUCAAAGGAUCUGACAUUCAAAAUUUUGGUUUAAAAAAAACAGCCAGCUAACACAACCUAAAAUCAAUAGGAUCUACAAACCUUCACACUCUAGCUAAUGUGGCCAAUAGAUCUGUAAUAAUAAACAAUAUUUGAACCUACGGGAGUCACAAACAGCUACCACUACCAAAACCCAGAUGGCUAAUCGGACAAAUGGAAUUAACUAAGUGACUGAUGAAUAAUUAAUCAAGAAAUUACCAUAAGAAAUCGACGGUCUUCCUACACUCGUGACUCUGAUUCAGACAAAAAAUAUCAUAAAUACCUCUCUGAUUUACGACAAACAAAGUUACAAUAAUUAAGUAGCAUGAAUAGGAACAUGUAUUGUGCUUGAUCUAAAAUACGGUAUCAUUAGAAUAUUGGUUCUGGGACUAUUAAUAAAAUUGCUAAAACCAUGCACACUGAAAGAACUAACAGGGUUCCUGAAUCUGAAUACGAACCAAAAUUGUGUAAUCUGGUAAGGUUGAUUUUCAGAAAACAUGAGUAGAACAUGAACUCCAGAAUGGCACCGGAAGAGAGAACGGACGCUCCGUCGUCACCGGGGAAGAAGCUGCUGUGGAGCGCAGGGCGAGCCACACCGUCGCCUCAAGCCCCAUCCUCCACUGGUUGGGGAUGGGAAGCCACGCACGGCCAGGGGCCGCCGUGCCCGCCGGUUGGUCGUGCCGCCGCGCCCGUGGGGAGCAGAUCAGGGCGGGGAGGCGGAGGGCCGGCCACCGACGCCGCCAGGAAGGUGAAGGAGCCGCCGCCUCGCCGGGAAGGUGGAGGAGCCGCCGCUGCGACAGGGAGAGGUGCCCGGCCGGGGGAGGGCUACGCCAAGUGGGGUGGCGCUACGCCCACGGUGCCGAUUCGGCGGAUGAGAGGGGGGAGCUCCGGCGCCGAUGUGCUCGGUGGGUUGCGGGAGGACGCGGCGAGGUGUGGGGGAGAAAUCCCAAUGUGUUCGGGGGUGGGCAGAUGCGGGCGAGGUGUCGGUGUUGGAUUGUUGAGACCGGACAAAUCAACGUGAUUAAUUACUGGACUAGGUAGCGUACCCGUGCGUUGCGUACCCGUGCGUUGCUAUAUUUGGAUUAUUGCAUUCAGCGUCAACUAUAUUUGAUUCGUCCAUUAAGGCUAUAUCAUGCUAGAUCCCAGAUACACAAAUUGUGGUGGUACUUACCACAACAUGGGAUCCCUUAACAGCUUGAGCCCCGCUUCCUACCUUUGAUAUCAUAGUACCUAGUCAGAAAUUUGAUAAGUACUUUGCAGAUUCAGGCAAUAGAAAAGCAUGCUUCAUCUUUUCAGUGAAACAAGGAUCAACAAAAUGCCUGAUCUCUGAAUAAAGAUUUUAUGUCAGUGAAACGACCUAUUUUGAACUCUGAUUCAUACCCCCAAAACAGAACCAAAUUUCCCCCAAAAUGACAGCAACACAAACUAAAUCAGAUGAAGCGCUUACUUGUUGAGGCCACUGGGCAGGGUGGUGUCGUUGUCCUCGAUGUUGCCGAUCCUCUCAUGUGGUUCUGCCGGGUCAAUGGCGGAACUGACCGGAGGUGGGGGCAGCACACCUACGACAUUGGUGACUACGACAUCCCCGAGGAGUUCCGCACCCCCUCCACGCCCACGAAGAACGUCAUUCCCAACGUUGCGGCGCUGAUGGUGAAUUCAAUGUCUGUUAGGGCGGGUCGAGGACGACGAUUGGUGAUGGCGGCGCUGAUGGUGGGUUCUCGAGGAAUCGUCGAGGGCGGCGCUGAUGGCGGGCGCCGAGGAGGAUGAGAGGGGGCUCUGCGUCGAGGAGGCGGGCGCCGAGGAGGAUUCAUCGAGGAGGAUCUGGGAGGGGGCGCCGAGGAGGAUUCGUCGAGGAGGCGGUCGCCAAUUCGUCGAGGAGGAGGUGGGCGCUCUCCGUGGGGGCUUUGCGUGGGCGCUCUGCGUGGAGGAGAGCCGGGCGUCGCAGGAGCCGCGCGUCGCAGGAGGAAGGAGGCGGCUGCUCUCCGUGGGCGCUCUGCGUGGAGGAGAGCCGGGCGUCGCAGGAGCCGGGCGUCGCAGGAGGAAGGAGGCGGGCGCUUUCCUUUUUGUUGUGCGGAAGAGAGAGCCGGGCGUCGCAGGAGCCGCGCGUCGCAGGAGGCAGGACGAAAGCCCGAUGGACGAUUGUCGCACGAAACAGGUGUCCAUCUUCUACUCUUUUUAGUUGUAGGAGAUAUUGGGUUGUGGGACCGGCCACAAGUGGUAGCGAGAUUGGCUCGGUCGGAUGGCCUGGCUACAAAAUAUCUCUUUCUGUAGCUAGCUACAGAUAUAUAGAUCUAUAUAUAUAUAUAUGGGUGAGUUUUCUAUACUUUUAGGAGUAGUUACUCCCACUCAGCUUAUUGGAUUUUUUAGACAAUCAAAACCCGUUAAACAUUUUUGUACUGCCGUUUGCAUGCGUUCAGUUUCAAAGGCUAGCGGCCGUUGUUGCGCACCACCCAUUUUUGCGGCAGUCUGUUUCAAAGUGAAUGAAUUAUUGAUGGAUGCGUAGAUGUCUUUUGUGAAUAAAGUAUGGAUACAUACUUCAAAAAGAGAGUAGAUAUUUACACUUACACGUAAAAUAGAGGAAGCAGUACGUGCACAUACUUAUUUAAAUAUGCAUACUUGAUUUUACGUGUACAUACUUAUUUUACGUGUAUAUGUGGCCCAUAUAUACAUACACGUUCAACACAUAACUAUCUAUGGAUAAUAUUUUAUACAUAACUUUUUUGUGCAGACUAUCCAAACAGUACUACUUUGGGAAAAGAAAAUACAUACUGCUGAUUGUGGGGGUAUAGACCCCUAUACCCUUACGGCUAGACUUGGGCCAGGAGGCUUGGCCCAUUAAGAGAUAAGCUCAAGGUUUGAUCCGACAGCUUGGAGUUUCGCGCAAGGAAACAAGACGUGGAGAUCAAGCAGGAUUCUAGUCGGUUAGAAUAGGAAUUGAUAUCGAACUAUCUAUGGCAAUUGUAACCGACUAGGAUUAGUUUCCAGAUCUGUAACCCUGCCCUCCGGACUAUAUAAGGAGAGGCAAGGGACCCCCCUAGGACAUCAUAUUCUCUCAACACAAAUCAAUACAACCAGACGCAGGACGUAGGUAUUACGCCAACCCGGCGGCCGAACCUGGAUAAAAAGUUUGUCCGUGUCUUGCGUCACCAUCGAGUUCGUAGUUCGCGCACCGUCUGCCGAUAAACUACUACCGUGGGUAUACCCCAAGGUAGACUGCCGACUAGCUUUCGUCGACAGUGGCGCGCCAGGUAGGGGGUGUGCGUGCAACUUCUCCGGCGAACAAGAUGGUCACGAUCCCAGCUUCCGCGACCGUGCCUGAAGGCCUCACGUUCACCGUCGGCCAGAUCACGUGGACGACGAGCAGCGAUGGCCUCGCGAUCACGGUUUCGAAAGAAACUCAGAUCCAAUCUGAGAUCACGACAUCACCGACCACUCGCGUGGCGGCACCGAGCACCCGACCACCGUCCCCGCUCUACAAGGGAAAGAAGAUUGACUGCUCGGACCUUCUCCAAGCGCUUGAUCGCGCUGAUUCCAAGCUACUUGAAACCUCCCAACUAGUAGACGGAAUCCUGCGUCGGCCUGAUCAAGCUGUCCCAACGGAUUUUUUCAAAUCCCGCCGCCCAACUCGUGUCGUUACACACGAACAGCUGGGAACGUCUCUGACGAUAACCUCAACUCCCUCAGGCCGAUCUGUCGAGCUCAAGAAGGAAGAUCAUCCUUGCGGCCUGAACAACUCGGCCUCUCUUUACUCACGGCACAUCCAAUCCGUUUUCAGCAAGACGGGUUGGCCGCCGAAAAGGAACGGUCGACCAGCUCGUCACUACGUCAACAUGGUGACGAUCCGAGAACUACGAAACGGCCAGGUUUCCAGCACCAACUCGAGCACCGGUUCCGUCCCCACCGAAGUUAUAAACUCCAAAGACGAGGACUACGAUCUGGAUUUGCCUUCACACCCUCCGGGUUUCCCUCGUUUCCCGGUAUUCCCCCCUCGGCGAGGAGACAUUGUUUUCAACGUCAGCGCCGACGAGCCGGCCGUUGAUGGAGAAACGGAUGAGCAGAGGCAGCUCCGCGAGCAGCGCAACGCCGAUCGCGCCCGACGACGCGUAGAUGAGCAACGACAAAUUCCACCGCACAAUCUCAACGACGCUUUUGACAUGGUCGGGGACCAGCCAGUCUACAAAACGCCAAGCGCCAACGUGGCGGUCGCCAUGGCUAAUCUAGAUCGGCUCCCUGAUACCCCGAGUGCCAGGGAGUCCGGACCAGCGUCCGAGCACACCUGAUCGCCGCCAUGGGACAGACAGCCACCCUGCUCAAGAGAGCCCAGGACGUCUCUUAUACGGAAGCCACCUCCGACCAGACUAAUCGCAGCCGGACCUCACCGCCCCUCAGCAGGCGUCACCGCAGCCGCUCUCCCGACAACCAUCGAAAAGAUUCGCGGCGUGACGAUGGUGGUCGGGAUACUGACGGUCACCGUGAGCAGAACCGUAGACGCGGUCAAGAAGUAAACCAGCACAGGGAUCUCCGAUACAACAUCCCUCCCAAAGAUGCCCGGGACCGCAUCAACAGGCGUGCCACAGAAAGAGCAGUCCACGAAAACCUGCGCCGUAUCGAGUACGAUGCAACGCACGGCCCCCCGGGCCUAAGACAGUUCUCCUCACACCUCCGCCAGGUCGUGUGGCCCCGCAAUUUCAAGCUCGAAAAACUUAAAAAAUACGAUGGCAAGGAAAAUCCAGAAAACUGGAUCACUCUCUAUGAAAUUGCCGUCCGAUCAGCAGCGGGAGAUGAGCACGUCAUGGCCAACUACUUCCCUGUAGUACUCGACUAGGCUGGUCAUCAGUGGCUCCUUGGCUUGCCCGAGGACUCCUUUGACUCUUGGGAAGAGCUACGCCAGGCUUUCAUCGACAACUUCAUCGCCACAUGCGAGCAGCCUGGAAACAAGUAUGACCUCGAAAGGAUAAGGGACAGGAAGAAUGAACCUCUGCGCGAUUACAUCCGACGAUUCUCGGAUAUGCGCCUUAAGAUCCGGAAGAUUUCCCACGACGAGGCCAUCUCUGCCUUCAUCAAGGGCUUGCGUUUUCAUGAAGCGCUGAGGAACAAGCUGUUGCGCAAACGGCCAACAAUGGUGGCGGAGCUUCUCGCCACGGCUAAAAAUUACGCCGAUGCCGACGACGCAGAGAAACUAAUCCGAGACGAUGCGAGAGGUCCCGACCAGCCUUCCCGGCGAGAUGACGGUCGCAGUCGCUAUGACAACAGGAACCACCGCCGCCCCAACAACCGCGAUCAUAGAGAAGGUUGGGAUCGGCGUCGCGACAAUCGCGACGAUUUCAGAGGAAAGCGCCCCCGCGACUACGACCAUGAAGUGAAUACGGUCAAACGUCCCAACGGGCGGCGGGACUACCAAGAAGACUACAACAAAAUGUUGAAGGGACCGUGCCAACUGCAUCCAAAGUCUAAUCAUACCAUAGAGGAGUGUUGCGUCCUCAAAAGCAUCUAUACUCGGCGGGCCGCCCAAGACGACUCCACCAAGAAAAAUGGCAAGCGAGACGGGCACGACCACGAAGACGAGGACGAGGACCAAGAUAGGGACCCCCGACACCAAUACGUCAACCCCACUGACGUGGUCCACUCCAUCUUCGGGGGCAAGGUCUCCAUCGAAUCUAAGCGAGAAAGAAAGCUAUUAAAGAGAGUCUGCCUCAACAUAGACAGCACGGACGGACUGAUCGCAGACCCAAAAUUUCCCCCAUGGUCGCACAGGGAGAUCUCAUUUAGCAGGAAGGAUCAGUGGGCCGCUAUCCCAGAGCCAGGUCGUUUCCCUCUGAUCCUGGACCCGUGCAUCAACAGCAUCAGAUUCGAGCGCGUGCUCGUGGACGGGGGAAGCUCCAUCGACAUCCUCUUCCGCAACAGUCUGCCCGCCCUCAAAGUAUCUCCUGCACAACUAAAACCCUACGAUGCUCAAUUCUGGGGGGUUUUGCCAGGACAGAGUUCAGUGCCCCUCGGACAGAUAACACUACCUAUCCAAUUCGGCACACCCGACAACUUUCGGACAGAGUUCAUCAACUUCGUGGUCGCGGACUUCGACGGGACCUACCACGCUAUACUAGGCCGACCAUCGCUGACAAAGUUCAUGGCAGUCCCGCACUACUCAUACCUGGUCCUUAAAAUGCCUACGGAGAAAGGUGUCCUAACCAUCAGAGGCAAUGUCUACACCGCGUAUACCUGCGAAGAAGAGAGCUUCAAGAUUACCGAGGCAAUCGACCUCUCAAUCCGCAUGGCAGAAACAGCAACCCAAGCCGCGCAGCUGCCUCCCGACCAGCUCCGAUUACCCGAGCAGGAGACCGCCAGGAAGAAUUCAAAAUCCAAGGAGUACAAAGAAGUACAGCUGGUCGACGGCAGCCCCGAGAAGACGGCCCUCAUCGGGGCCAAUCUGGACCCAAAAUAGGAAGACGCGCUCGUCAGGUUUCUAAGGGACAACGUGCGCAUUUUCGCAUGGAAACCCGCAGACAUGCCCGGUGUCCCACGAAACCUGAUCGAGCACUCCUUAAAUGUCUCGAAGACCGCAAGACCAAUCAAGCAAAAGCUGCGACGGUUCGCUCGUGACAAAAAGGAGGCUAUUAGGACAGAAAUAACACGGCUUCUAGCAGCCGGAUUCAUAAAAGAAGUGUAUCACCCCGAUUGGCUCGCCAAUCCGGUCCUUGUACGCAAAAAGAAUAAUGAAUGGAGAAUGUGCGUUGAUUACACUGAUCUCAAUAAACACUGUCCUAAAGAUCCUUUUGGUCUCCCUCGCAUCGACGAGGUGGUCGACUCAACGGCCGGAUGCGAACUCCUCUCUUUUUUAGACUGCUACUCUGGUUAUCACCAGAUUUCUCUAAAGGAAGACGAUCAGAUCAAAACAUCUUUCAUUACUCCUUUCGGCGCAUAUUGCUACACGACUAUGUCAUUCGGACUCAAAAAUGUCGGAGCCACUUAUCAACGAGCUAUACAGCAGUGCCUCCACGACGAGAUUCGUGACAACCUCGUCGAGGCCUAUGUAGAUGACGUCGUCGUCAAAACAAGGGACGCAAGCACCCUAAUCGACAACUUAGACCGAACUUUCAAGGCGCUUAAUAGGUACAAGUGGAAGCUUAACCCCAAGAAGUGCAUUUUCGGUGUUCCUUCCGGUCUACUGCUCGGCAACGUCGACAGCCGCGACGGCAUACGGCCAAAUCCCUCCAAAGUAAAAGCAGUACUCGACAUGCAGCCACCUAAAAAUAUCAAGGACAUUCAGAAACUCACCGGAUGUAUGGCCGCCCUAAGUCACUUUAUCUCAAGACUAGGAGAAAAAGGCCUCCCUUUCUUCAAACUCUUGAAAGCAUCGGUAAAAUUCACUUGGACAGAGGAAGCCGACGCCGCGUUCACUCAGCUUAAGACUUUCCUCACUUCACCACCUGUUCUCACAGCGCCUUAGCCCAAUGAAGACCUACUCCUUUACAUUGCUGCAACCGACAGGGUUGUUUCCACGGCAAUAGUAGUCGAACGAGAUGAGCCAGGUCAUGUCUACAAAGUCCAGAGACCCGUUUACUUUAUAAGCGAAGUCCAAAACGAGUCCAAGGCCAGGUACCCACAAAUACAGAAGCUCAUCUACGCCAUUCUAAUAACGUCAAGAAAGCUGAAGCACUACUUCGAUGGCCAUCGAGUCUUGGUGACCACCAGUUUCCCUCUCGGGGACAUUCUGCGCAAUAAAGAUGCCAACGGCAGAAUCGUAAAAUGGGCGAUGGAGUUAUGCCCAUUUUCCCUGGAGUUCUAGAGCCGCACCACAGUUAAGUCUCAGGCCUUGGUCAAUUUCAUUGCUGAGUGGACGGAUCUCAACGAGCCUCCCGUUCCCGAUGUCUCCGACCACUGGUCAAUGUUCUUCGACAGAUCCUUGAACAUCAACGGUGCCGGUGCUGGGAUACUGUUCGUGUCGCCUAACAAGGACAAACUGCGUUACGUCCUUAGGAUCCUCUUUCCAGCAUCAAACAAUGUCGCCGAAUACGAAGCAUGCCUGCACGGCAUAAGGCUAGCCGUUGAGCUGGGAGUCAAACGCCUCUAUGUCUAUGGCGACUCUGCUUUGGUUAUCAACCAGCUCAACAAGGAGUGGGACGCAACCCACGAGAAGAUGGAUCUCUACUGCAAAGAAAUUCGCAAAUGGGAAACCAACUUCUACGGCAUAGAGUACAUCCACGUGGUCCGGGAUAAGAACCAAGCAGCAGAUGCGUUGUCGAAGUUAGGGUCAUCUUGGGCCCAGAUCCCGCGGGGUAUUUUCGUCCAAGACAUCCAUGAGCCAAGCGUAGGCUCCGGCCUAGUCGAAAAGCAACUCACUGAGGCAAUGCUCAUAGACGAUGCCACUCCGACAACCAGUGGUCGUGAUUGGCGUACUCCGUUUAUCAAGUAUAUAUCGGACGGGUGAGGCUUUCAUGACAAAACAGAGAACGAGCGCCUCAUUCGACGGUUAAAGAACUACAUCCUGGUCGACGGCAAACUCAUGCGAAAAAACGCAAGUUCUGAAGUACUGCUCAAGUGCAUAUCCCAAGACGAUGGUAUCAAGCUCCUAGAAGACAUACACGCUGGAUCCUGCGGCAAUCAUGCCGCAUCCAGAACGCUGGUCGGGAAAGCCUUCCGAGCAGGUUUUUAUUGGCCAACCGCGGUAAAUGACGCAGAAAAACUGGUCCGACACUGCGAGGGAUGUCAGUUCUUCGCUAAAAGGACCCACAUACCUGCUCAUGAAAUUCAAACCAUCCCGUCAUCCUGGCCCUUUGCCUACUGGGGGCUUGACAUGAUUGGGCCAUUUAAACCAGCUCCCGGCAACUUCAAGUUUGUUUUCGUGUUAAUCAACAAGUUCACCAAGUGGAUCGAAUACAUGCCUCUGGUCAAAGCAACCUCCGAGAAGGCUGUGGAGUUCCUCAAUCAAAUCAUACACAGAUUCGGCAUCCCGAACAGCAUAAUCACCGACCGGGGUACUCAAUUUACUGGCACCACAUUUUGGGACUUCUGCGAUGACAGGGGCAUAGUCAUAAAAUAUGUGUCAGUGGCUCACCCACGGGCAAAUGGUCAAGUUGAGCGCGCAAACGGAAUGAUCAUUGACGCCCUAAAGAAACGGCUGUACACCGAGAACGACAGAGCACCCGGUCGAUGGAUGAAAGAGUUACCGGCCGUGGUCUGGGGCCUCCGAACUCAGACCAGUCGGAACACAGGAGUGUCUCCCUACUUCAUGGUUUACGGCACCGAGGCAGUCAUGCCGUCUGACAUAACCUUCGGUUCUCCUAGGAUCGAAAAUUUCGACCAGUCAACAGCCGACAGCGCCAGAGAACUCGAAAUCAACUGCAUGGAGGAAAAGCGUCUGAAUUCUUGUUUCCGAACAGCAAAGUAUCUUGCGGCAAUCAGGCGGUACCAUAACAGAAACGUAAAGGACCGUUCUUUCGUGGUCGGCGAUCUGGUACUCAGGUGGAAAACAAGCCAGGAAGGAAUGCACAAGCUAUCCACUCCUUGGGAGGGACCUUUUGUGGUCGCCGAAGUCACACGACCUACAUCUUACAAAUUGGCGUAUCCAGACGGAACACGCGUGCCUAACUCUUGGCACAUAGACAAACUGCGCCGAUUUUAUCCAUAAGUUCUAGUAAAUUUCGCUUGUAAGUAUCUUAUAGCUGUCAAUAAUAAAAGUUCUCCUUUUUUUCCUAUACUUUGUUACACACAGAACUUGGAAAGUCUUGUGCGAUCGAAGCUCUUAGCGACUACGAAAUAAAAUUCGGUGGCACGUCACUCAGAUAAUUGUACAGCGCUCAAAAUAGCAGUCAUGACAAAAGCAAACUUUAUUACAAACUUUACAUACAAAGUUUACAAUAAUACCCUGACGGGCGGACACUAGUCUACUCCUACAGACUAUCCUAAUGGCCUACUGCUCGGGCUGAUCACCCGCUUGGCCUUGCUGCCCGGACGAAGGGGUCGGGGCCACCGGCGCCUGGCUGGUCGAGACCGCAGGCGUCGACCGCCCAUCUCCUGCAACGGACGCGCUCGACAGCUCCCUGGCCGACCUGUCUGAACUCGGCUGGUCGGGGGGAGUGGCCGUUCCACAUAGAUUGAUGUCGCCGAUCACAGUCGACGACAAGUCCAGCAGACCACCCCGAAGCUCGUCCGCCUCCUGCGGGCCGACCUCCUUGGGAUACCCCUUCUCCAGCCUGGUCAAAUCAACCAAGGGGUAGUGGGCGCGCACCAUGCUGAGGACAUGCGCGCCAGCAAACUCUCCGGCAUCCUUCACGAAUUGCUGGAGCCAGUCCCACGCCCGUUGUGCCUUUUGAACUGGCGUUAAUCUCGGCGUGUGGGGCUGGCUCUCCGGGAGCUCGGGACUGAUCAAGUCCAGGACCGGGGCCACUCCUUUCCAAAUCUUGCAGCAGUUGACCUUCCAGGAGUCCCGAUCCUUGACCAGUUCCUCCAGGUGCUUCUUAGUGUUCGCCUUAAGCACUGCAAAUCAAGGAAGAUGUUAACCUCGGCGCAUCAAACAGAACAGUAAAAGGCAAAAAACGGAGGCAGCGCGCGAUACCAGACAACUCCCGGUCCCUUUGGCCCAGCUCCUGCCCUGCUCGGCGACCGGCCUCCAGCGCCCCGGCCAGCUCUCGACCGAGCUGCUCCUUCUCCUGUCGGAGGCGCGCCACUUCCUCCUCCAAGCCUACGUGAACCAUAACCUGGUCAGUAAAGCAAACUACGCAGCUACUCACAGCUGCUUGAAGCACUUAACUAACCUGACCGCUGCCGAUACUGGUCGGCCAAACGACGAGUGAGCUCGAGACGAUGCUCCUCCUGAGCGUUCAUCUCGGCCACCUUCUGCCCGACCUCUGACCGCAGCCGAUCCACCUCCGCAGUCAGGGUCUUGUUCUCGGCCACAAUUCCUUCUAUCUGGUCGAAGCACCUCUUCCGGUACUUCGCCGUUUUCAUGGCGCCCUGCAAGAAGGUUGCAUGUCGUCUCAACAAGAUAAGGGGGGAAAGGAGUCGAGUAGGGCAGAGAAUCACUUACCUUGACCUCAUCUACAAGACGUUUGGCCGCACGCUCUACCCUUGCGGCCUCCUCCGUCUCCGCAAGCUCUUCAUGUCCAAUAAAGUGGUCCCCGCGUUGGCGCCACACGUAGACAUGCUGGCGGCCAUCACGGGGACGACCCUGGAUCUCCUCCACGUCGUCGUCAGAGGCUUCCCGGGGCUCCUCAUUCGCCGUGUUGUUCCCGGCUGCGGUCGAAGGCAUCACGGGCCCCCGGCCUAGGCCAGGAGAGCUCGCGGGUGAAGAAGCUCCUUGGCCAUCAGCUCGGGGUGGUGUCGGGACCCUCCCUUCUUCGGCUAGAGUCGGGAUUCGGUUUUCCUCCUCAGCAGCAGCGCUUGGGGGAGGGGUCCUCGAAGCCUCUUCGUUCCUCGGCGGAGUACUCGCCGCGGCACUCGUCGGGGCAGACUGCCCCUCAGCGCCUGCAGCAGCAGCAGCAGCCGCCGCCGUAGGCUGUUCCGUGGCCUGCGGCGCGGCGUCGGCGGCGGCAAGAUCGGGCGCCCUCUGGUCGGUGGCGUGGUCGGGAUUGACAUCCGACGCCGCGCUAUAAGAACAAAGUAUCAUCUUAAAAAAAUCGCCAAAAUACGUAAGUCGAACACUUACAGGUCCGAUCGAUGGUGGGUCGCGGUGAACCUCCUCCUUGCCCGGCCGGUUGGUACUUGCGCCCCCAUCUCGACAACGCGCGGAGCAGGAGGGUCGCUGGCCGCCCGAUCAGUAGUGGUCGGCGCGCUAUCCGGGCGGCUCCGAGACCGUCUGACUAGCGAUGGUGCGGCCUCCUCCUCGUCGUCGUCGACGAUCCGCACAAGCCGACGAUGCUUCGGCGCUUGGCUGCUCUCUGCCGACAACGUCGGUGCUGGCAAAGGAUCUGCUGCCAGCGGCCUUUUCCCCGCCACCCUCUCCUCGGUGGUCGGGACGGGGUGGGCCUGGUCCUCCUCACUGCUGGUGUACCGAUCACACCAUGCAGCGUCCUCUACCGGCGGAUCCUCCCCUGCGGGAUCCUCCAUCCCAGGCGCCAGUGACACAUACACUAUGCACCUGUCUACAUCUCCGAUCUACAAAGAGAAAUACAGACAAGUCAGCAUCUGACGAAAUAAUGAACGCUAAGGAGUCACAGUCAGUAAAGAACAUUACCUUAGGGGCUGGUCGUCCCAGCUUGAAAGCUUGCACCCAGUCACUACCACGGAUGAAGUUUCCGUCAGCAAAGUUGAACAAUUCAUUCAACAACUGCUGCACCUCUUCAUUGUCCAGGACCUCAGGCCUCAUCCUGGUCGGGUCCUGGCUUCCGGCGUACUCGUACGCCGAGUGCACCCUCUUCUGGCAGGGCAUCACUCGGCGGCAAACAAAGUUACCGACCACUCCUAGCCCGUCCAAGCGCGACCAGACGAUCAGCUUCAUCAGGUCUGCUACUUGUCCGUCGAAUUCUGGGCGGUCGGUCCAACUGGCCCUCUUCACGGGGAUGUACCCCACGUCACAGAACGUGGAGCUGCCCGGCUCCUCCCUGACGUAGAACCAUUUCCUAUACCACUCGGUAAGAGAGGUGUUCCAAGGGCAGCUCAGAUACCGGUUCUUCAUCCCGUCCCGGAGAUUGAGGUAUACUCCACCUGCAAUCUUGGAGCCUCCAACUGCUCCCUUCUUCCUUAGACAGAAAAGAUAACGAAAGAGAUCGAAGUGCGGCUCUAUGCCAACAUAGGCCUCGCACAGAUGGAUAAAAGUGGAGAUGAGAAGGAUGGAGUUCGAAUGCAGAUUGCAAAUUCCGAUCUCAUAAUACAAAAGAAGACCUUGAAGAAAAGGAUGAACAGGAACCCUAAAGCCCCUCUUAAUGAAAUCUUCGAAAACGACGAUCUCACCGGCACGGGGGUCGGGGAAGCUCUCUCCUUCCGGCGCUCUCCAGCCGCCGAGCUCCGAGCCGUGCAGAAGCCCCAUGUCGACGAGAUCACCGAUGGACUUGGCGGUGCUGCGGGACUUCUUCCACUCCUUGGCCAUCAGGUCGGCCCUCUUCUUGGAGUCGCUUUUCGCCAUUGGAGUCGAGGAAGUGGAUUCGAAGGUGUAGAUGAUUGAAGGAGGCAAGAGUGGAAGGUUUGAAGGCAAUGGCAGGGUAAGCAGUAAAGGGGGAACUGUCGAGCUCUUAUAACCCACAACUUCACCCCUCCCACUUCCCGCAUUCUCGAAAAGUGGGCGGGCCAUACGGCGGAUGCGGCGUUUUGGUUUUCAAUGAUUAUCGACAAUUAAUGCGGUGGAGUUUUCGUACAAAUUGUUGGUUUCCUUUUCUCAAACCGCGCAAAGGGCGGCUGUACAGUUGCCAGGCGCAACUUUUUAUGCAUCCAUCUGACAUCCCGUCAGAAGGUCUCGUCACGUCAACUCUUUGUGUGGAAAAUUUUCAAAACAACCAGACAAAACUGGUAGGGAGUCAACAAUCCGGGGACUGUACCGACCACCGAGCACUUGAUGCUCGGGGACUGGUCGCCCAGUCUAUCGGCUCGAAACUUCACUGACCACCGAGCACUUGAUGCUCGGGGACUAAUCGUCCAGUCUAUCGACUCGGAACUUCACCGACCACCGAGCACUUGAUGCUCGGAGACUGGUCGCCUAGUUCAUCAGCUCGGAACUUCAAAACAUCGCACCGACCACUAAGCGCUUGAUGCUCGGGGACUGGUCGUCCAGCAUAGCAACGCUGAAUUUUAAGGAGCGCACUUGGUGCUUGGGUCCUGGUGGUCAUACUAUUGUACACCCGGGGACUGGUCGAUCAGCCUAUUCAAUUGCAGACGGAUUGGUGAAUUUAAUUUUUUAGACCUUGCUACAAGGCUCAUACUUCGCCUUCCAGCAAGCUCGGGGACUACAUCGGUACGAUGCAUCUGGUGAUGCAUCUCAGUUACAGAAUUUCUUUGAGUACUUUUCUUUUGACCCUGGCACCACGUACCUACGUCACCUACUACCAGGCUCGGGGACUAAGUGGGCACACUUCACCUUGUGGUGAAUAUGCUUGCUUUUUUGAGGUUUAUACUUUUCUUAAAAGUAAAGUGGGCACACUUCACCAGGAAAGAAAUCUUUUUUAAUUUAGAGCACCAUACAUUCUUCGAACAACCAGCUUCUUCGAUGUCAAUGUCGAUCAACUGUCUUUUGAGUUGGUCAAAGUAUCGUUGCAACUGUUUGGGCGACUCUUUUGUUUACUGAAGACGUCAAGCCUCACUGAUCGAAGAAGCUCAAGACAACGUGUUACAUCACAAUACAUGGUGCUCGGGGACUAGCUGUGGGGGUAUAGACCCCUAUACCCUUACGGUUAGACUUGGGCCAGGAGGCUUGGCCCAUUAUGAGACAAGCUCAAGGUUUGAUCCGACAGCUUGGAGUUUCGCGCAAGGAAACAAGACGUGGAGAUCAAGCAGGAUUCUAGUCGGUUAGAAUAGGAAUUGAUAUCGAACUAUCUAUGGCAAUUGUAACCGACUAGGAUUAGUUUCCAGAUCUGUAACCCUGCCCUCCGGACUAUAUAAGGAGAGGCAAGGGACCCCCUAGGACAUCAUAUUCUCUCAACACAAAUCAAUACAACCAGACGCAGGACGUAGGUAUUACGCCAACCCGGCGGCCGAACCUGGAUAAAAAGCUUGUCCGUGUCUUGCGUCAGCAUCGAGUUCGUAGUUCGCGCACCGUCUGCUGAUAAACUACUACCGUGGGUAUACCCCAAGGUAGACUGUCGACUAGCUUUCGUCGACACUGAUGUAACGUGAAAAAGUACCCAAUAAUAAUACAACCAAUAAUAAUACAAGAGUAUUGAAGGAAGUAUCAAGUGAUACUUUAAUCCAAAGAAAAAAAGUACUCAUGGAUACUUAAAUAUAGAAAAAAAUAUCAAUUGAUCGAUCUGAUCUCAUCUAGAAAUAAAUAAGACAGGCUUGUUGUCACCAUCUCUCUCAUCACGGCGAUGAUGCAUUGCGGACGGGAUACCUGGCAGCGCAGUGAUCGGCGAUGCAACCUGGACGGGAUCCUGGUGGCGUAGCGAUCGACAAUGCAAUGUAGACUUGAUGCGGCACAUGCUCCAAUCCCAUACCAGCUCCUCAAACUCUCAAAGGGAUCUCCAGAAAUAACAGAUGCGAUGCAAAAUGCCAGGUCAGUGAUUUAUAUAUAACAAACGGGAAAUUAGGAUCGUUGGUUUUUAACGGGUUUUCCUGAUACACACCCG